GGUUUCCGUAGGUGAACCUGCGGA
rnacentral:ncRNA from 7 species